rnacentral:rRNA from 1 species
AGAACGAACGCUGGCGGCAUGCCUAACACAUGCAAGUCGAACGAGACCUUCGGGUCUAGUGGCGCACGGGUGCGUAACGCGUGGGAAUCUGCCCUUCGGUUCGGAAUAACAGUUAGAAAUGACUGCUAAUACCGGAUAAUGACGUAAGUCCAAAGAUUUAUCGCCGAAGGAUGAGCCCGCGUAGGAUUAGCUUGUUGGUGGGGUAAUGGCCCACCAAGGCGACGAUCCUUAGCUGGUCUGAGAGGAUGAUCAGCCACACUGGGACUGAGACGACGGCCCAGACUCCUACGGGAGGCAGCAGUGGGGAAUAUUGGACAAUGGGCGAAAGCCUGAUCCAGCAAUGCCGCGUGAGUGAUGAAGGCCUUAGGGUUGUAAAGCUCUUUUACCAGGGAUGAUAAUGACAGUACCUGGAGAAUAAGCUCCGGCUAACUCCGCGCCAGCAGCCGC